ensembl:miRNA
GCCACCAGCAUCAGCCAUGCUCUGUCUAGUGCCUUAUUCAGGAAGGUGUUACUCAUACAGAUCGAUAUUUGAAUGGCACCCUUCUGAGUAGAGUAAUGUGCAACGAGGACCACAUUUGUGGCGGC